AUACGGAGGAUGCGGGCGUUAUCCGGAUUUAUUGGGUUUAAAGGGAGCGUAGGUGGGAUAUUAAGUCAGCUGUGAAAGUUUGGGGCUCAACCUUAAAAUUGCAGUUGAUACUGGUUUCCUUGAGUACGGUACAGGUGGGCGGAAUUCGUGGUGUAGCGGUGAAAUGCUUAGAUAUCACGAAGAACUCCGAUCGCGAAGGCAGCUCACCGGGCCGGAACUGACACUGAUGCUCGAAAGUGCGUGUAUCAAACAGGAUUAGAUAUCCUGGUAGUCCGCACAGUAAACGAUGAAUACUCGCUGUUUGCGAUACACGGUAAGCGGCCAAGCGAAAGCGUUAAGUAUUCCACCUGGGGAGUACGCCGGCAACGGUGAAACUCAAAUGAAUUGACGGGG
rnacentral:rRNA from 1 species